UGUGUGUGUGUGUGUGUGAGAGAGUGAGAGUGUACACACACACUCACGUGUGGGACAGCUGUUGAAUAACUGCCUUUUACAUAGACCCAGAUAAUAUCUGUGACAUACAAGUUUGAAUGCAUGUUAUUAAAAUAAAUUUUGUUUCCAUUUCACACAAGAGAUGAGUCACAUCGGGGUUGCUGUUCCUCCCUCCAGAGCGUGAAGGUGACAGGCAUUAGGGUUGGAUCACGUGGGCCGUAUGCAUUCCCAGUUUCAGAGGAUGAGCAGCAGGCUGGUAGUAAAUAUGCAUAAUCACUGUGUUGCCAUGCCAACUGUCAGUGCUGGCAACACUGUCAAAUAGGAGUUCCAUGUAACCGUUCUUUUCUUCAACAGUUCAAGUUUAUGGAAUUUCCCCAUCUUUACCUGACAAACUGCAGAAGCAAGAUACAUAGGCGUACUUGCCACACACCAUUUAGUGUGGUGACACUCCACAUGGCAUUGAAUCAGCACAGGAAAGCCAGGCAAGGCUUGGGCUUUUGACUUUAUGAAGUAAAAUGGGAUCUGUAAUACCUGCGACCGUGUCUCCUGAAGGUGUCAUCACACAAACCAAAAAUGCUUUCUUAUAUAAUGCAACUUAGACAAGCAUGUGACCAGGGGCAGUGCUGAACCUCUUCCUGAGCCCCGUCUUCAGCCGAUUGAGAAGGAACUGAGGGGGUGCGGGACACGCGCGCACAGACAGACCCUAAUGCCGCCGUGAGACAACAGCUGGGUGCGUGCAUCUGGAGUGCAUCACCUGGAGUGGAGCACCCAUAGCACUCGAAGAAGAAGGAAUUUUAUACUUUAAAUAUUAAUGUUAAAUAUUAACUUUAAGUCCGUGGAACUUUGUAAUGGACUGAUCUCAAGGAUACUUUUCGUCACUUACUCUCAAGAAAUAAUAAAUAAAACAAAAGCAAUACUACUAAGGAUGAAAAAAACUUGGAUAUAUUAGCUUCAAUCUUUUUCACUGUAAGAAUGAGAAAUAGUUAAAGUCUGACAGACAAUGCUACUUUUGAACAUUGUCCAUGCACUGACUAAACCACUAGAGAAGCAGUUUAAGGAGAGUAAAAUAUAUUUCAAUAGAUAAACACAUCAGAUAACUGUUCAUAGGGAAAACCAACUCAAAUGAAGUAUCAUAACACUUUGUUUUUUAACAGUGUAUAGAAUACUAAGUUGUUUCAUUAUACUGUGUGUUGAAGUGCUUAGUAGGAAAUAAACAUGUUAUUCUGCUGAUAUAUUCACAUGUUUUGAUAAGGUAUGUGCCAAGACAUUCCUUGCUAAGUUAAGUGACUAAUCAGAUGCUGUGCUGGUAAGCACACCCUCAAGUGUCAUCAUAACCCGGACGUUUGCACAUGACACCCAGAGAAA